AUACCCGCUGAACUUAAGCAUAUCAAUAAGCGGAGGAAAAGAAACCAACAGGGAUUACCUCAGUAACGGCGAGUGAAGCGGUAACAGCUCAAAUUUGAAAUCUGGCUCUUUCAGGGUCCGAGUUGUAAUUUGUAGACGAUGCUUUGGGUGUGGUGCCGGUCUAAGUUCCUUGGAACAGGACGUCAUAGAGGGUGAGAAUCCCGUAUGUGAUCGGUCGCCUUCGCCCGUGUAAAGCUCGUUCGACGAGUCGAGUUGUUUGGGAAUGCAGCUCAAAAUGGGUGGUAAAUUUCAUCUAAAGCUAAAUAUUGGCCAGAGACCGAUAGCGCACAAGUAGAGUGAUCGAAAGAUGAAAAGCACUUUGGAAAGAGAGUUAAACAGUACGUGAAAUUGUUGAAAGGGAAGCGCUUGCAACCAGACUUGGACUGUCGCAAUCAUCCGGGGCUCGCCCCGGUGCACUUGUGGCGGUACAGGCCAGCAUCAGUUUGGGUGGUGGGAUAAAGGCCUUGGGAAUGUAGCUUCUUUCGGGGAGUGUUAUAGCCCUCGGUGCAAUGCCGCCUACCCGGACUGAGGACCGCGCUUCGGCUAGGAUGCUGGCGUAAUGGUUGUAAGCGACCCGUCUUG
rnacentral:rRNA from 1 species